AGAGCACAGCAGAAAUGGACGUUUAUGUCUCGUGCAAGUAUGGAAAAAAAUUGUUCUGAAAGUCCAAAACCAGCUAGCAGAUACAAGGACCGAGUACUCCUUGUAUCCAUUAAGAGUUUGUAUCACUUGAAGGUUAGAGUUUGUAUCACUCAAAAUCCCAUGUUAGAAAUACAGAUAUCUGUAAUUCUGAAGGUUAAAACCAGAUUAUUACAGAUGGCUCUGACAAAAUAAGUCGGAGCCAUCACCCAUAACAAUCAGUGUAAAGGAGUUUAACAGAGAACCGACAGGGAGAUUGUCCUCAGGCCAUAGCAUUGAAAGAGCCUAAUAAAUAUGAGUGCCUCACUAUCCAGUUUCCACCCACAGGAGACAGAAGAAAAACAACGGUGAGAACAAAGCUGCCGUUGAGCGGUUGGUUAGAAAUAUGCCAAGCUGAAACCACAAAAUAUACUCUGCAAUCUGCAGACCAGCCUGUAUCUCUCUAGAUGGCUACUUGAAACCAGUUUUCUGUAUGUUUGUCAUGUCCAACAGUAUGGAUACUUCACUCAGCUUUGCUAAAAAAAAAAAAACAACUAAAAAUAAAGUCUUAAUUUUCCAAACCCUCUUCAUUUAAAAAAGUGAAUCUUGCCUCACUUCACGUUUAUGCAAUGCAUCAUUAAAUCUUGCCAUCGGCAUGGCAAAUCCAAAAUAAAACAAUUUAAUACAAGACUCAAACACACGUAUUUGUGAUAAAAAUAAAUGUUUUAAAUGUAUCAAUAAAAAUCACCAGGUUCAGUAAACUUGACAUUUUACCAAAUCAGGUGCAUUACAAUAUAUCGCAGUUAACAAAAGGAUAAAACUCCUUGAGGAAACUCUACAAAUGGCAUUAUGGAAAGAGCCACCACUUUAUAACAACUCAUGUCAGGGACAUCUACUAGUCUAUACAAGUUGACCAAAAUGUGCCAGAAUUUGAGGACAUCAAACAUCAUUAAAAAACAGACAUUUCAUAGAAU